AUGAAGAUCCAACUUUGCCAUCCAGAAGUCCCCCAUUUCCCCCAAGCUGGUCUCAACGAGCGACGACUCUCUCAGGGGAAAAAAUAAAUAAAAGCUCGGGAAAGUGAGAGAAAAUAGAGAGAGAAAGUCCAAGAAAGUAGAGAGAGAAAGCGCCGGCAUUUAUGGCGGAAGCUCCUAAACCGCGAAAAGCCAGCGAAGACAGCGUCAAGCUCUUCGUAGGGCAAGUGCCCAAGAACAUGACCGAAGCUCAGCUUCUGGCAAUGUUCAAAGAGUUCGCUCUAGUGGACGAGGUCAACAUCAUCAAGGACAAAGCCACGCGUGCUUCAAGAGGUUGCUGUUUUGUUAUAUGUCCUUCCAGACAGGAAGCAGACAAGGCAGUAAAUGCGUGUCAUAAUAAGCGAACUCUCCCCGGGGCAUCUAGCCCGUUGCAAGUGAAGUAUGCAGAUGGCGAGUUGGAAAGGCUAGAGCACAAACUUUUUGUUGGUAUGCUUCCGAAGAAUGUUUCUGAAGCUGAAGUUUCUUCUUUAUUUUCUAAAUAUGGAACUAUAAAAGACUUACAAAUUCUGAGAGGUUCUCAGCAGACAAGCAAAGGUUGUGCUUUUUUGAAGUAUGAGACCAAAGAACAGGCCCUUGCAGCCCUGGAGGCGAUCAAUGGGAAGCAUAAAAUGGAGGGUUCAAGUGUUCCUCUAGUUGUCAAAUGGGCUGAUACUGAAAAGGAAAGACAAGCUCGGAAGGCUCAGAAAGCUCAAUCUCAGGCAUCUAAUUUGCCAAGUGCUGAUUCAGGACAGCAUCCUUCAUUAUUUGGAGCCUUGCCUCUUGGUUAUGUUCCCCCAUACAAUGGAUAUGGUUAUCAGGCUCCUGGUGCUUAUGGACUUAUGCAAUAUCGCAUGCCACCCAUGCAGAGUCAGGCUGCUUUCCAUAAUAUGAUUCCUCAAGUAAACCAAGGAAGUGCCAUGCGUGCAAUUGCUCCUGAUCUUGCUCGUGCUGUGGCCCCUAGAAAUUAUGCUGUGCCUUCUGCUAGUUAUAUGGGCUCGGCUUAUCCUGCAUUGCCAGGUCUUCAGUAUCCUAUGGCAUAUCAUGGAGGAAUUAUGAGUCACCAGCCUUUGAGUGGUUCCCCUGGUUCUAGGCCACCUGCAAUGAUGACUAGUAACUCCCCAACAAAUUCAGGUGCCGGUGCAAGUUCGGGGGGUCAGGUUGAAGGUCCACCUGGUGCUAAUCUAUUUAUCUAUCACAUUCCUCAAGAAUUUGGUGAUCAUGAACUUGCGCAUGCCUUCCAACAAUUUGGUAGGGUCUUGAGUGCCAAGGUCUUUGUCGACAAAGCAACUGGUGCUAGCAAAUGUUUUGGAUUUGUCAGUUAUGAUUCACCAGCAUCUGCUCAGUCUGCGAUUAGUAUGAUGAACGGAUGCCAAUUAGGCGGUAAGAAGUUGAAGGUUCAACUUAAAAGAGACAACAACAAACAGAACAAACCUUAUUGACUUGGAAGUUGGAGAUGCCGUCAUUAGAUGGUUUGUCAUUGUGUAAUUCAGGUAUCUAUUGCUUCCUCGAUGUUGACAAGUAAGAUUAUAGUGUGUUCUAUUGCCACAAAAGAAGGAACAAAGAAAAACAUUGGCCUGCUUAUUUGGUAUUAUUGAUAGAGAAGGUAGUGGCAUCAACCUUAUAAAUCUUGUUUUCUUACUUUCAAGGGAUUUUUAAUCCUGUACCAGAAUGUCAAUCCUAUAUCAGCAACAUAUCUUUCUGACUGGACAGCUUGAUUUCUGGUUUAUCAUGAUGACAUGAUGAAUUCAUGUGUCGAUCUACUCUAUGUAUUCCUUUUAAGGAUCAUCUGAUGAUGUUCUAGGAAACCUACAUUUUUCAACAUCACCCUCGGGGAUUUGACUGGUGGUGGUCAGAGAGGCUCAGAAUCCUAAUUGGUGUUCUGAAUGGCAACUUAUGAGUUAGAUAGUCUGAAAUUUCAGGCCAGAAAAGCAUGCAAGGAUUGAUGUGGAUCAGAAUGGGAGUAAUUUGCUUGUCAUAUAACAUUUUCGGUAAACUGCAGUGGUGUUAAAGGAUGACUGCUUUCUCCAUUUUGUGGAGUAAUUUGGUGCUUUUCAUCUUGAAAUCGCUUUAAACACCGUAGUUGAUGCAUAAUCUUUGACAGCAUCGCUGCUGAAUGGCAUAAGAAACCGGCCAUUCUGAAGUCUAUUCCCUGCCUAUUUGUUGCUCCCAUACCAUGAAACUGAAGGAAGGAACCUGUACCACUGUAUCAAAAGAGAUAAAGUUAUUAAGGUCUGCAUCUGGACCCAGCUCCGGAAAGGCUGAAUCGCUGCCGAUCACUUGGCAGUUGGGAUCUAGGCGUGUGCCCGCAUGAAUGAUUGACCUCUUGCAAAUCCCCUGGUCAAAAAGGAUUAUAGCUAUACUCCAUCAGCUCAGUAGCUGCCUGGUGGCUUCAAUGAUAGGAAAUGUGCUUUAACCCUUUCAUUUCUUUGGUAGGUAAAUGCUAAAUAUACUUACGGAAUCAUUACAUCCAUGAAUACCGCCUUUCUUUGUAUUGUAUAUAGUCCAGGCUCUAACAAGUCAAGCCUUUAGAUUUAGACUCGUCCCCCCUGUAAUCCCAUUCACCUGCAGCCCGACCCAUCACGUUUCAAACAUGCGGAUAUCAUCACGUUUCAUGAAUAAUCCCUUUGACAAAUUCAAAAUGUGAAAGUUCAAUGGGCUUUCGUCUUUUGAUUACGAAAGAAAUCCCCAAACUUCCA